rnacentral:rRNA from 1 species
UACGUAGGUGGCAAGCGUUGUCCGGAAUUAUUGGGCGUAAAGCGCGCGCAGGCGGUUCCUUAAGUCUGAUGUGAAAGCCCACGGCUCAACCGUGGAGGGUCAUUGGAAACUGGGGGACUUGAGUGCAGAAGAGGAGAGCGGAAUUCCACGUGUAGCGGUGAAAUGCGUAGAGAUGUGGAGGGACACCAGUGGCGAAGGCGGCUCUCUGGUCUGUAACUGACGCUGAGGCGCGAAAGCGUGGGGAGCAAACAGG